GCAUUGGUGGUUCAGCGGUAGAAUUCUUGCCUUCCAUGUGGAAGACCUGGGUUCGAUCCCCAGCCAAUGCA
rfam:Loxodonta africana unplaced genomic scaffold scaffold_70, whole genome shotgun sequence.